rnacentral:rRNA from 1 species
GACGAACGCUGGCGGCGUGCCUAAUACAUGCAAGUAGAACGCUGAAGGAGGAGCUUGCUUCUCUGGAUGAGUUGCGAACGGGUGAGUAACGCGUAGGUAACCUGCCUGGUAGCGGGGGAUAACUAUUGGAAACGAUAGCUAAUACCGCAUAAUAGCAGUUGUUGCAUGACAACUGUUUGAAAGGUGCAAUUGCACCACUACCAGAUGGACCUGCGUUGUAUUAGCUAGUUGGUGGGGUAACGGCUCACCAAGGCGACGAUACAUAGCCGACCUGAGAGGGUGAUCGGCCACACUGGGACUGAGACACGGCCCAGACUCCUACGGGAGGCAGCAGUAGGGAAUCUUCGGCAAUGGACGGAAGUCUGACCGAGCAACGCCGCGUGAGUGAAGAAGGGUUUCGGAUCGUAAAGCCCUGUUGUAAGAGAAGAACGAGUGUGAGAGUGGAAAGUUCACACUGUGACGGUAUCUUACCAGAAAGGGACGGCUAACUACGUG